rnacentral:rRNA from 1 species
UGGGGAAUAUUGGACAAUGGGGUGAACCCUGAUCCAGCCAUGCCGCGUGUGUGAAGAAGGCCUUAUGGUUGUAAAGCACUUUAAGCGAGGAGGAGGGUACUGGUAUUAAUACUACCAGGUACUGGACGUUACUCGCAGAAUAAGCACCGGCUAACUCUGUACCAGCAGCAGCGGUAAUACAGAGGGUGCGAGCGUUAAUCGGAUUUACUGGGCGUAAAGCGUGCGUAGGCGGCUAAUUGAGUCGGAUGUGAAAUCCCCGAGCUUAACUUGGGAAUUGCAUUCGAUACUGGUUAGCUAGAGUGUGGGAGAGGAUGGUAGAAUUCCAGGUGUAGCGGUGAAAUGCGUAGAGAUCUGGAGGAAUACCGAUGGCGAAGGCAGCCAUCUGGCCUAACACUGACGCUGAGGUACGAAAGCAUGGGGAGCAAACAGG